UUGACCUCUCACCCUUCACAUCCACAUACACCUGUGCACCGUUUGGCUCUUAUAAAAGACGAAAGUCUGCAAUGAGAGUCAUCAAUUUUAUACAUACCCCAGUCUUAUGAAUGUAACAGUUUUAAUAAACAUAAUAAAACUUUUAACAACGGAUCUCUUGGUUCUCGCAUCGAUGAAGAACGCAGCGAAAUGCGAUAAGUAAUGUGAAUUGCAGAAUUCAGUGAAUCAUCGAAUCUUUGAACGCACCUUGCGCUCCUUGGUAUUCCGAGGAGCAUGCCUGUUUGAGUGUCAUGAAACUCUCAACCUUCAACUUUUUUAUUAAGGCUGAAGGCUUGGACUUGAGCGCUGCUGGUUCUCACGAACCGGCUCGCUUGAAAUGAAUUAGCAGAUCCUUUUUGUAAUCGGUUCCACUCGACGUGAUAAGUAUUUCGCCGAGGACAUAUGAAAGUAUGGCCGAGAUAAAGAAAGUUCUAGAUCCGCUUCUAAUUCUUAGAUAAAGCUUGCUUUACUAAACCCCAUUUUAUGAUCUGGCCUCAAAUCAGGUAGGACUACCCGCUGAACUUAAGCAUAUCAAUAAGCGGAGGAAAAGAAACUAACAAGGAUUCCCCUAGUAACGGCGAGUGAAGCGGGAUGAGCUCAAAUUUAAAAUCUGGCGGCCUC
rnacentral:rRNA from 1 species